UGCAUUGCCAACCAGAAUGUGGGUGGCUAGAAUGGCAGCCUGUAGGUUUGUAUGGAAAACAAGUAUGGCACUGUGAAAAAAAUUCUUCUCUCACCCUACAGAUACCUGUGCGGAGAGCUUGGGGAGCAUUUCCAUAGGCUCACUGUCAAAUGAGUGCGAAAGCCCCCAUUCAUUGGAAGCAAAGCUGCUCUUGGUGUUGUUACUGCUGACUUCUAUCUUAACAAAUUCCAGGAUGUUUUCCAGUAUCAUUUCUGCACCAUUUAAUAUGGUCAUAGAAAGUUCAUGUGGUCUAUCAACUUCCUAGUCUUACUCAAGAAUAAUAAUAAUCAAAGAGACAAGAACAGAUGCUGUUGUCGCGGUCAUGCCAAGAAAACGAAGCUUUGAAGAUUUUCAUAUUCCUGUAACUACCACCAUUACCUCUUCAAAUUUCAUAUUGAAUCUUUGCCUAUAUUUAUUCAAGUCAGAGAGAUAAACUUCUCAUGCAACAAAUCUUUCAUCAUUUAUAAGGAUGAAUGACAAAGACAUCUUGGAAUAUUCUUUUUAAGUUCCAUUAUCUUCUUUUGGAUUUAUGGAAAUUUUGAGCCGUGAUGUGCAAAUGACUACAAUUUGAAGCAUCCGUUAAAUACAGCAACAUGACAUCACAAGGAUUAUUUCAAAGUCUUUUGGAGAGAAGAGGCAUAAUGAAACAUGAAAAACUAGGAUUGGAAUUAGGUAAAAAUACAGAACACCAUGGUUCCAAACUUAUAAGUGUUUUUUUUUUUUUUUUUUUUUUUUUUUUUUUUUUUUAAUAGAAGCAGGCGUAUCAAGUUGUCUCACUACUGUGAGGAACUGAAUGAGUAAAUAAGAUUCAAAAUAUAAAACAUUAUAGUCAGUCAGACAGGACUAAGCCAUCAAAGGAGCCAGUGCAGAAGAUUAGAUACCUUGUUGCUAUGGGAGAGACAGACAUCUCCUGAUGUGGGCUAGGCCUCAAGACAAAAGAUCAAGCAAAUACACCCACAUCCUAAGGAUUGAUAUUCUAAAUAGCUCUCUCCAUCAUGCUGAGGAAGCCAGGAGUCACCAUUCCAACUUCCCACAGGAAAAGACACUGCUCUUUAAACAUGCUUGCUACAUGACUUGCUUCCUUAUUCAUCCCCAUUUAAUAGAUUUUAUCUGAGCAAUUGAUCUUAUUGGUUAGCUGUUGUCUAUCCCGCCUUAUGCCCACCUUGACAGUUUCUAUGUUUUCCCCACCUUGAACUCUUCUCACCUCAUGGUUUUACUCUAUAAAAAAUCCCUGGAAAAUACAAAGUCUUUGGUAACCCACUCGGGACCUCUUCUGUCUCUCUCUCAGACAGAAGCUUUCUUUCCCUCAAUAAAUUAUUUCUGCUCUUAACCUCUGUUGUUCCUAAAAGUCAUUCUUUGAUUUUAGAAACACAAACUCGUACAGGACAUAUAGUGAUUGGGAGAUUCGUUCUCCUAUAUCAGUAUCAGGUACAAGUUCUCUCUCAGCUUUAAUAGAGACUAAGUUUAUCAGUAAAACUUAUUUACAAAUAAAUAUCCUUGAGGGAAAUUAGAAGUAAUUCCUGAAAUAAUAAGCAAUAAUGUAUAAUUCACUCUACUUAGCCACAUGCCAUGAAAAAGUGUAUCCUAUAGAUCAGACAAAGUUCCAGGUGAAACUGAGGGAUUUUUACUUAGCUUUCUCAUCUGUUGCUCACAGGGUAGCACGGAUUCAUGAAAAUAUCCUGCUCCUAGGAGUCUCCUGCCUGAUUCUGGAUAUGAAUGCCAAUUUUAUACUGUUAUCUUUUAAUCACCUCCUGUGUUAGAAAUCAUAGAGUAUUAGGCUCAAACCCUCCCUGCUCCCAUCAUUAAAAUCACUGAAACCCUGUUGAAUUUAAUUUCUUUAAAAUGUAUUUUAAGAAAAUCUUUCUCCUCUCCAUUUUCAUUGCCUUUGGGUCUGUAUUGUUUGAAUCAUCAAUUUCCUACCAAUGAGAUUGAAAUUGACUCUUCCAUAGUCCCGCUUGCCCUGUCCCCUUCCUUAUAUGCUAAGAUGUGGGAAUAUUUUUCCUUUUUAUACUACCUACAAGUCAUAUUUUUCACUUCAGAGUAACUUUUAAAAUUAGCAAUUAAUUUCAUUAUUAUCAUUAUUUUAUUUAUUAUUUUUAUGUCUGUGACACCCUCAUUGCAUAAAGCAAAUUCUCAACACAUAUUCUAGAAAAUGUCACUUUUAGAAGAAUCCCAUGGUGAAUUAUCUACAAAGGGGUUCUUCCUAGCAGAGAAAACUACUUAAAUGUGUUCAGCUUAAUAAGAACAGAAUCACAUGAUCAUAGAGUAUUUUAUACAUUUAUUAUUUUUUGUAAAUAUGUUAUAUUGAAAAAACUAUUGAGCAUUAGAUUAUAUUGACUUAAAGAUUAAUGUCCAAAAAUGUUAUGAUGUAUGAUCUUAGUUUUGUCCUGGUCUCCUCUCCCACAUUUCCCUCUUAUCCCUAGCAGUCCAUUGUAGGAAGAUAAAAGUUUAGAAACAAGAUGCAUAACAUUAGGUAGAGGACAGUGAAUGGACAUGAAAAAAAAUGAGAGGAAAUUUUUAAAAACUGACUUUUCUUCAUAUGCCUCCAAGUAACGAAGUUAAAGUGGAAAAUUAUAUAAAUUUUGCCUGCUAUUCUGGUUUUGAUAUACAUUUGCUUGUCUGAUAGUAACAAAAUUUCCAGGACUUCAACUGUUGGGGGUAUGACAAAGUGUUACAAAAGGAUAAAGAGCUUUACUUUGAAAAGCAAGUAGAACUGAAAAAUGUUUGCUAGGUUGGCGGGAAGAGACAGAGGAAAGGAGCAAUGGCAGUAGACAGGAGAUAAUGAGUGGGGCAGAGCCCUUGGAGAAGAUGUUUGUAUAUUUAUGUAUUAUGUGUAUGUGGGCUGCAUGUUCCUGGAGUGGUAGGACUGAGAAGAGAGAUUGAAUUUGAGUAAUGUUUUGAUUUUGCAUUCAUUUCUUAGAAUAAUAACUUGAUUUGAUAGUCCACUAAUUGUUUAUAUCUCUUUAUGUCUCUCUUGAACACUGACCAAAACUAUAUUUCUUUUCAUCAUAAAAUGUUACACAUUUCAUCUGUGUUAUAAGGAUCUAACAAUGUAGGCCUUUGAUUGUUGAGAGAGAAUUUUCUUAAGAUUAUUCAUGGCAAAGAAAAGAUUAUCUUUUCUAACAUGUCAAAAUUAUCCCUACAAAUGGAAGUACCCAUAUAUGGUUUUGAUGCUCCUAUGAACAAAUCUAGUUUACUCUCCAUUAUUUUAGGAUACUGGCAAGAUGGAUAUAUAUUUGUGAGUGAACAAGCCCAGGAGGAACUUCUCAGAAAGUUAAAUCUUCCAGAUACUAUGGUACAAUUCACAUAAUUCCCCAAUCUGACACCAAGCCCCAAGAAAUACAAAGUCAUAUAUUUUUUUUCAUAUUGAGAUAAUCAUAAUAUUUUGAUAUUUUUAGUAGAAGACAACAUGUUUUAUUACAUCAAAUUGUUAAGGAGUAGGAUACUUGUGUCUGCAUAAUUUGUGAAAUGAACUUUACAUUGAAGUAAUGGAAAGGCUCCUUUUUAUGUUAGCACCAAAGUGUAUCAAAGACUUACCCUGCUGGAAGGACCUCUUACAUAUGAGUCCUGUGCUAUACCUUGCAACCGCAUAUAGGAGAAUCUCAGUUCAUUGUCAAAGCAUCCAUUUUCCUGCAAUGACCUCAGUUUAGCAUCUGCUCAUAGGAUGUGUUGCACAUUGUUGGAAUUUUAUAGUGCCUUAUAUAUUCUCAUCCAGGAGACCUUCAUAGACCUCAGAAAAAGUUACAUUUUUCCAUCUCUAUGUGUGAAAAUGAUGCUUCCUAUUAAUUUUGUUCUCUUGAUGAAAUCUCUAAGCAAAAGCCUUCUGUUGGAAGCAAAAUAAUAUAGUAACAGCAUAAUUUUUUAACAUUAGAAUGAGACAUAUUAUGGUGUAUAUUUCACUACUUUUAAAAACAUCAAAACAAAAACCUCAAGAGUCAUGAUGUCAAUUUUAUAUUUUAAGUGUGAAGAUUUCAAGAGCCUUGAGAAUGACCCCAGGACAAGUAUGACCCCCCACACUCCGCUAAGCAGGGUUUUCUACUGUAGUAGCCCUGUUAAAAGCACGCCUGUCUAUGAUGUUUGCAUUUUUGAGAGUAAAGACUUGGCUGUUUAAUCCAGUGCAAUAAAAUAUUACAGAAAUUUGGUCUAGGACAGUACUUAUCAGUAAUCAUGUUUGGGAAAAAUGUGAUUUUUUUUGUAAAUGGUGUCAUAAUUAGAUGAUUU